AUCCUACGGGAGGCAGCAGUGGGGAAUAUUGGACAAUGGGCGCAAGCCUGAUCCAGCCAUGCCGCGUGAGUGAUGAAGGCCCUAGGGUUGUAAAGCUCUUUCACCGGUGAAGAUAAUGACGGUAACCGGAGAAGAAGCCCCGGCUAACUUCGUGCCAGCAGCCGCGGUAAUACGAAGGGGGCUAGCGUUGUUCGGAUUUACUGGGCGUAAAGCGCACGUAGGCGGACUAUUAAGUCAGGGGUGAAAUCCCGGGGCUCAACCCCGGAACUGCCUUUGAUACGGGUAGUCUUGAGUUCGAGAGAGGUGAGUGGUAUUCCGAGUGUAGAGGUGAAAUUCGUAGAUAUUCGGAGGAACACCAGUGGCGAAGGCGGCUCACUGGCUCGAUACUGACGCUGAGGUGCGAAAGCGUGGGGAGCAAACAGGAUGAGAUACCCCGGUAGUCCCAUG
rnacentral:rRNA from 1 species